rnacentral:rRNA from 1 species
UACGAAGGGGGCUAGCGUUGUUCGGAAUCACUGGGCGUAAAGGGCGCGUAGGCGGCCUGAUAAGUCGGGGGUGAAAGCCUGUGGCUCAACCACAGAAUUGCCUUCGAUACUGUUGGGCUUGAGACCGGAAGAGGUAAGUGGAACUGCGAGUGUAGAGGUGAAAUUCGUAGAUAUUCGCAAGAACACCAGUGGCGAAGGCGGCUUACUGGUCCGGUUCUGACGCUGAGGCGCGAAAGCGUGGGGAGCAAACAGG